rnacentral:lncRNA from 1 species
AGUAUGCUGACAGGGCGGGGAUAUCGUGGCCGCGGCCCCGCCCUCCGUCCUGUCAUUGGGCGCUCAGGAUGCGAAUUCGAAUCAGGGCAGUUUGUGGUUCGCGCUUGUAGGUCGCUGGGACUGGGGGGCAGGAGCUCUCAGGGACACCGUCCGACCGGAACUUCUAAAUCGCCUUCCGCGGCAUUACCCAGCGCCGGCGGGUGCAGUGCGAGAAACUCCUGCAGCAGUUACCCGUCUGGAAAAAGCUACAUUAUUCACAGCAAAAAUCUGCUGCUGGCUCUGGGCCUCCAGUCACUCUCUGCCUGCCAUCUCCCACAGAUGAGUCUCUCCUGCUCCGCUCCACCCUUCUCUGCUGGGCCCUUCCACAGAGGCGCCUCUGUUGCUCCUGGACCAUCACAUCCUUCCUGCACCGGCAGCUUCACCCCUACCAGACCCAUCUUCUGAUUCCGAGUAGUCUUGCGAACCGGACCCCACCUUUUCACCUGCAUGGUCCUACAGCCUGGACCCUUGGCUCCCAUCGUACCCUCCGGUGUAUGCUCUACCGGCUGACCCGUGGUUCCACUACCUGCAGGUGCCGCUGAUGCCUGGCGACCCCUAUGCCUGGCCCUACUGGGCUGCCUGGAACCCCUACCAUGAGCGCAGGAUGCCAUCUCGCUUGCAGCACUGCCUGUCCCCAACAUACAUAGCCCCUCCCCUCUGUCUUUGAGGAACCUCUGGCCAUCCCCGCUCCGGUGGCACCAACAGCAUCUUUGCCACCUCUGGUCCAUAUGGCUGCCUUCUCAUCUCCAGGCAAUGCCAUCAUUCUUCCCACCACCCUCCCUCGCCGACCGCUUGCAGUACCAGGACUUACUUCGACGCAUGGCCACAGCCCUCAAUCUACCUGUCGAAGACGUCCAAGACCCACAGGAUUAAUUCCUGGACAUCCUACAACCCCUUGUUGACUCAUGUACCACCCUUCGUAUCCACAAUGCCCUUCUACAACUGGCCCAGGCCAUUUGGCACACUCCGGCCUCCAGUGCCCCUACACCAAAGUGGAAUGCUGAUUCUUCAUGCCCCCUAAGGGCAUGGACUUUCUUUUCGCACACCCAUCCCCCAACUCACUGGUGGUCCAAGCCACGACCAAGCGUGCCUGCCAACAACACCUGCAGUCCACGUCCCCUGAUUGGGUCGCCAAGAAGUUGGAUCUCCUGGGCUUCAAGGUCUACUCCUCCUCUGGUCUCCAAUUCUGCAUUGCCAGCUACCAGGCCAUCCUGGCCAAGCAUGAUUUCCUUUCAUACUCCAAGCUCAUGGACUUCCAGGCCUUCCUCCUCCCAUAGAAACAAUAGGACUUCCAACAUCUCCUAGAUGAGGAAAAGUUGGUGGUCAAGGUGACUCUCCAGGCCAUAGUUGAUGCUGCCGAUAUGGCGUCCCACUCGCUGGCAUCCAGAGUUGUCCUUCGCCAGGAUUCCUGGCUCCAGUCUAGCGGCUUCUUGCAUGAGGUCCUGACUACCCCGAGGACCUCCCUUUUGACCACCACAAGUUGUUUAAUGACAAAACAGAUGACUCUUUGCAUACCCUCAAAGACUCUCGUGCCACACUUCGGUCACUGGUCCUUUAUACUCUGUCCCCUGCCUUUGCCAGCAACGGUCAUCCUUCUGACCCUGCCCUUGGGCCACAUACCAGCCUUACCACUAGCCUUACCCCCAGUGCCCACCAGAUUCUUCUCUGCGUUGCUCCCAACGACCCCGUUACUCCGCCAGUGCUACUCCUGCUUCUACCAUUCCUCAGCGUUCCUCCAAGCAGCCUGAGAACCGCAAACCUUCUUCCCUCCACUCUCACCACCCCACCAGUGUUUUUCAGGGGUUGCCUUGCCCCCUUCACUUACAACUGGGGCAAGAUUACCACCGAUCGCUGGGUGCUGGACAUUGUACAUCGGGGUUACCUCAUUGAAUUCCCCUCCUUCUGACCUAAUUGCCCAUCCUGGGAGUACCCUGCCACGUUAUCGCAUUCUCACCUUCUGAGAGGAAGCAGAUGCCCUCCUCCAGAAGGGCGCUAUAGAACUCAUUCCACAGCGCUACCAGGGCUGUGGCUUCUACUCCUCCUAUUUCCUUGUGCUGAAGAAAGGGGGUGGCCUUCGCUCUAUCUUGGACCUCCGGCUGCUGAACAAAUUUAUUUGCAAGUUCCAUUUCCGUAUGGUCACCCUCCUCCUCAUUAUCCCCUCUCUUCCCCGUGGAGCUUGGUUCGCGGCUCUCGAAAUGAAGGAUAAAUAUUUCCACAUCCACCCUGCUCAUUGCAAGUUCUGCUUCGCGGUCGACCACUUUCACUACCAGUUCUGGGUCCUCCCCUUCGGGAUUGCUACUGCCCCCCCAUGCCUUCACAAAGGUCUUUCCUGUCAUGGCAGCUUACAUGCACUGCCUGGGUAACUCAGUGUUUCCAAACUUGGACGAUUGGCUCAUGGUGUCAUCCUGGUCCUGCCUCCUUACCAUUACUCAGAUCUUGCAUGCCCUCCUCGGCACCCUAGGGAUUUGUAUCAACAAGAAAAAGACAGUCCUCACCCCUACCCACUCCCUACCUUUAUAGGGGCUCACCCGGACUCUGUCGCAGCCCAUGCCUUCCUUCUCUUGGAACGCUUUGCCACUCUUACUGCCCUCAUCGUGCAGCUCUGCCGCCGCCCGUGCGCACACAUCUAUCAGUGCCUUUCCCAUCUGGGCCAUAUGGCGGCCUGCACCUCCGUUACCUCGUAUGCCCGUCUCUAUCUACGCUGCCUCUAGAUGUGGCUCCACUCCAUCUACAACUUGCUGUCCGACCACCUCAGCAAACGGUUCCUCAUUCCCUCAUCAGUUCUCACCUCUCUCACUUGGUGAUGCAGCCUAUCCACGGUCUUAGCCAGUGUCCCUUUCACACCUCCCACGCCCCACCUUCCCCUCAUGACGGAUGCCUUGCUAGUCGGAUGGGGCACUCAUCUGGCUGACUGCAUGGCUCUGGUCGCUCAGGGAGGUGAGGAUGCAUAUCAAUGUCCUGGAGCUGCGGGCCGCCCACCUGGUACUUCAUGGGACCUUAAGCUCAUCCUCUCCGCCCUCACCAAUACGCCUUUUGAGCCACUCGCAACCUGCUCCCUUGCCCAUCUUUCCAUGAAGGUGAUCUUUUUGGUGACCGUCACCUCUGUGAGACAAGUUAACAAACUGGCAGCCACGACGGUCGACCCUCUUCACAGUCUUUCAUAAGGACAAGGUCUCCCUCCGUCUCCAUCCCAGAUUCCUCACCAAGGUUGCCUCCCCGUUUCACCUCAACCAGUGCAUGCAUUUCCCUACCUUCUACCCUAAGCCGCAUGCUUCCCCUCAGGAAGGUGCUUUUCAAACCCUAGAUGUCCACCAGGCGUUGGCCUUUUACCUCCAGCGCACUUGUGACUUCCGGGCCUCCCCUCAGCUCUUUUUUGCCAUUGCGGAGUGUUGCCGCAGCCACACCCUUUCAUCGCAACGACUCUCCAAAUAGAUUUCUCUUUGCAUCACGGGCUGCUACACAUUCUCCCGUACACACACACACAUCCCCCAGGAGUCAUGGCUCACUCCGCACGGGCACAUGCUGCUACAUCCUCACCAGCUUCGCUUUCUGUUCCAAAGCCUCAUCCUUGUCAGAGUCCUCACUGUGUUCUGCCACACGUCCGAGGAGAUCGUCUCUGAUAACCAAGCUGUGACAGAGUAGGGAGUAUUAACCUGAUAAUGUUGCAUGGGAGUUUUACUAGUUUACUGUCUGCAUUGAUACCAGAUGGUGAUGGGAAAUAAGGGUGUGACUUCACUAAGGGAUGAUACUUGACGAUUAGCACGUAAAGGAUGUCUGCUGCCUUUCAUAACCUGAGCCCAGGAGGGGGUUGGGGCCAGGUGACACCUUCUGCCUGGGAAACUGGACAAAGCCUGGAGGAGAAGCCGGGGUGUGUGGCUGGGGGAGACUGCUGGAGGGAGUUUCAGUUUGGAGCUGGCUGGGGAGACAUGGGGAGGCCCAGAACCUGGGUCUUGGCUCCCCAACCCCCAAGAUGGACCUGAGUGAGAGGUCCUGUUUUUAGUACCUACAAGCUCUGUUUUAAACUGUGUUCCUGUCAUCUAAUAAAUCUGUUUUACUGGCUGGCUGAGAGUCA